rnacentral:rRNA from 1 species
AACAAACGCUGGCGGCGUGCCUAACACAUGCAAGUCGUACGAGAAAGUUCGCUUCGGCGAAUGAGUAGAGUGGCGCACGGGUGAGUAACGCGUGGAUAAUCUGCCCUUUGGUUGGGAAUAACUCAUCGAAAGGUGGGCUAAUACCCGAUAAUACUGCUUUCACUACGGUUUAGUAGUCAAAGAUAGCCUCUGUUUACAAGCUUUCGCUAAAGGAUGAGUCCGCGUACCAUUAGCUGGUUGGUAGGGUAAUGGCCUACCAAGGCUACGACGGGUAGGGGACCUGAGAGGGUGGUCCCCCACACUGGCACUGAAACACGGGCCAGACACCUACGGGUGGCAG